rnacentral:rRNA from 1 species
UACGGAGGGUGCAAGCGUUGUUCGGAAUUAUUGGGCGUAAAGGGCAGGUAGGUGGUCUUGUAAGUCUACUGUGAAAUCCCUGGGCUUAACCCAGGAAGUGCGGUGGAUACUGCAAGACUAGAGUGCUGGAAGGGUGCGUAGAAUUCCCGGUGUAGCGGUGAAAUGCGUAGAGAUCGGGAGGAACACCAGUGGCGAAGGCGGCUACCUGGACCAGCACUGACACUGAGGCACGAAAGCGUGGGGAGCAAACAGG